rnacentral:rRNA from 1 species
CCAACAGGGAUUGCCUCAGUAACGGCGAGUGAAGCGGCAACAGCUCAAAUUUGAAAUCUGGCCUAGCCCGAGUUGUAAUUUGCAGAGGAUGCUUCUGGCGCGGUGCCUUCCAAGUCCCCUGGAACGGGGCGCCACAGAGGGUGAGAGCCCCGUCGGGUCGGCCGCCAAGCCUGUGUGAAGCUCCUUCGACGAGUCGAGUAGUUUGGGAAUGCUGCUCUAAAUGGGAGGUAGACCCCUUCUAAAGCUAAAUACCGGCCAGAGACCGAUAGCGCACAAGUAGAGUGAUCGAAAGAUGAAAAGCACUUUGAAAAGAGGGUUAAACAGUACGUGAAAUUGUUGAAAGGGAAGCGCUUGUGACCAGACGUGCGUCGGGUGCUCAGCGGGCGUUCUCGCCCGUGCACUCGCCCGACGCAGGCCAGCGUCGGUUCGGACGGGGGGAUAAAGGCGUUGGGAACGUGGCUCCUCCGGGAGUGUUAUAGCCCAGCGUGCCAUGCCCCCGACCGGACCGAGGUACGCGCUCUGCAAGGACGCUGGCGUAAUGGUCCCCAGCGGCCCGUCUUGAAACACGGACCAAGGAGUCGAGGUUUUGCGCGAGUGUUUGGGUGUCAAACCCGCACGCGUAAUGAAAGUGAACGCAGGUGGGAGCUUCGGCGCACCACCGACCGAUCCUGAUGUUCUCGGAUGGAUUUGAGUAGGAGCGUAGGGCCUCGGACCCGAAAGAUGGUGAACUAUACGUGGAUAGGGUGAAGCCAGAGGAAACUCUGGUGGAGGCUCGCAGCGGUUCUGACGUGCAAAUCGAUCGUCAAAUCUGCGUAUGGGGGCGAAAGACUAAUCGAACCAU